rnacentral:tRNA from 1 species
UGUUCUGUAGCUUAGUUGGUUAAAGCGCCGGACUAGCGAUAACGGAGUCGUGCGUUCGAAUCCCUCCAAAACAA